AUUGAACGCUGGCGGCAGGCCUAACACAUGCAAGUCGAACGAGUGGCGGACGGGUGAGUAAUGUCUGGGAAACUGCCUGAUGGAGGGGGAUAACUACUGGAAACGGUAGCUAAUACCGCAUACCAUCGGAUGUGCCCAGAUGGGAUUAGCUAGUUGGUGGGGUAACGGCUCACCAAGGCGACGAUCCCUAGCUGGUCUGAGAGGAUGACCGGCCACACUGGAACUGGGACACGGUCCAGACUCCUACGGGAGGAAGAAUGGGGGAAUAUGGCAAAAUGGGCGCAAGCCUGAUGCAGCCAUGCCGCGUGAAUGAAGAAGGCCUUGGGGUUGUAAAGUACUUUCAGCGGGGAGGCGUUACCCGCAGAAGAAGCACCGGCUAACUCCGGGCCAGCAGCCGCGGUAAUUC
rnacentral:rRNA from 1 species